UCUUAUACAUGCGCAAAGAAAGUGGUUUCUUGAGAUGGAAUCUACUCCUGGUGAAGAUGCUAUGAA
rnacentral:pre_miRNA from 1 species